AUCACACUCACUGACUUCCCCUUC
rnacentral:siRNA from 1 species